rnacentral:misc_RNA from 1 species
GAUGAAGAACGUAGUGAAAUGCGAUAAGUAAUGUGAAUUGCAGAAUUCAGUGAAUCAUCGAAUCUUUGAACGCAUCUUGCGCUCCUUGGUAUUCCUUGGAGCAUGCCUGUUUGAGUAUCAUGAGCAAAUCUCAAAGUCAAUUCCUUUUGUUGAUUCAAUUGGUUUUGCUUUGGACUUGGAGGCCUUGCAGAUUUCACAGUCUGCUCCUCUUAAAUGCAUUAGCUGGAUCUCAGUAAUUAUGCUUGGUUCCACUCGGCGUGAUAAGUAUCACUCGCUGAGGACACUGUUAAAAAGGUGGCCAGGAAAAUACUGAUUGAACCGCUUCUAACGGUCUAUUAAGUUAGACAAUAAGCGGAGGA